CUACGGGUUGCUGCAGUGGGGAAUAUUGCACAAUGGGCGCAAGCCUGAUGCAGCCAUGCCGCGUGUAUGAAGAAGGCCUUCGGGUUGUAAAGUACUUUCAGCGGGGAGGAAGGGAGUAAAGUUAAUACCUUUGCUCAUUGACGUUACCCGCAGAAGAAGCACCGGCUAACUCCGUGCCAGCAGCCGCGGUAAUACGGAGGGUGCAAGCGUUAAUCGGAAUUACUGGGCGUAAAGCGCACGCAGGCGGUUUGUUAAGUCAGAUGUGAAAUCCCCGGGCUCAACCUGGGAACUGCAUCUGAUACUGGCAAGCUUGAGGCUCGUAGAGGGGGGUAGAAUUCCAGGUGUAGCGGUGAAAUGCGUAGAGAUCUGGAGGAAUACCGGUGGCGAAGGCGGCCCCCUGGACGAAGACUGACGCUCAGGUGCGAAAGCGUGGGGAGCAAACAGGAUUAGAUACCCGUGGUAGUC
rnacentral:rRNA from 1 species